AAAUUCAGUUUCUAUAUUCCUUACAAUAAAUACAACUUCACUUGCUACCGUAUCAAAGAAAAAUCUCAAGAUAUGCUAAUAAGCAAAAUGAAAAUACUAAUCACAAUGGCACUGCUUUUUAUAAUGACUGGAAACGAAAUAUGCGAGGCCCAAUACAGAUAUAAUGGGGCAUGUAUCACUGAGUGCCUAAAACAAUCGAAGAAUAAAGUUGACUCGAGCUAUCUCCACGUAUGCUCGGAUGCGUGCAGACAUCGUAUAUUCGUGUAGUGAUUGCAUUCAAGUCAUUUUGAAUACAACUAGAAAAAUGAAACCAGAAACAUCACUCCUGAGCACGUCUAAUCCCCUUAAAUUAAAUAAGAAAGAAACAAUAUUAUUUGUGAAUACAUCCGAUGUAUUUUAACGGAAAUAAAGCAUUUCAAAUACA